AAUCCAUGAUGAGGGCAUAGUCUUAUCAUAUCUUUAUAUCUUUCCCAUGAAUCAAAAAGUGUCACUCCUUCAUCUUGUUUAAACAUAGUUAUAUGAUUUCUCAAUACU